UACGUAGGUGGCGAGCGUUGUCCGGAUUUACUGGGUGUAAAGGGCGCGUAGGCGGGGCGGCAAGUCCGAUGUGAAAUCCCGCGGCUUAACUGCGGAACUGCAUCGGAAACUGCCGUCCUUGAGUAUCAGAGGGGAAAGCGGAAUUCCUAGUGUAGCGGUGAAAUGCGUAGAUAUUAGGAGGAACACCGGUGGCGAAGGCGGCUUUCUGGCUGAAAACUGACGCUGAUGCGCGAAAGCGUGGGGAGCAAACAGG
rnacentral:rRNA from 2 species